GACGAACGCUGGCGGCGUGCCUAAUACAUGCAAGUUGAGCGCUGAAGGUUGGUACUUGUACCAACUGGAUGAGCAGCGAACGGGUGAGUAACGCGUGGGGAAUCUGCCUUUGAGCGGGGGACAACAUUUGGAAACGAAUGCUAAUACCGCAUAAAAACUUUAAACACAAGUUUUAAGUUUGAAAGAUGCAAUUGCAUCACUCAAAGAUGAUCCCGCGUUGUAUUAGCUAGUUGGUGAGGUAAAGGCUCACCAAGGCGAUGAUACAUAGCCGACCUGAGAGGGUGAUCGGCCACAUUGGGACGGAGACACGGCCCAAACUCCUACGGGAGGCAGCAGUAGGGAAUCUUCGGCAAUGGACGAAAGUCUGACCGAGCAACGCCGCGUGAGUGAAGAAGGGUUUCGGAUCGUAAAACUCUGUUGGUAGAGAAGAACGUUGGUGAGAGUGGAAAGCUCAUCAAGUGACGGUAACUACACAGAAAGGGACGGCUAACUACGUG
rnacentral:rRNA from 1 species